GGCAGCAUGGCUUAAUGGGAAGAGCCUGGGCUUGAGAGUCGGAGAGGACCUGGGUUUGAAUCCCAGCUCUGCCA
rnacentral:tRNA from 1 species